AAGCUGAACGGGUACAGGAUGUGCUUGCACAUCGCUGACGAGUGGCGGACGGGUGAGUAAUGCUUAGGGAUCUGCCUCUGUGUGGGGGAUAACUAUUGGAAACGAUAGCUAAUACCGCAUAAUGUUUACGAACCAAAGGGGGCGUUUGCUCCCGCGCAGAGAGGAACCUAAGUGAGAUUAGCUAGUUGGUAAGGUAAUGGCUUACCAAGGCGACGAUCUCUAGCUGUUCUGAGAGGAAGAUCAGCCACACUGGGACUGAGACACGGCCCAGACUCCUACGGGAGGCAGCAGUGGGGAAUAUUGCACAAUGGGGGGAACCCUGAUGCAGCCAUGCCGCGUGUGUGAAGAAGGCCUUCGGGUUGUAAAGCACUUUCAGUUGUGAGGAAAGGUUAGUAGUUAAUACCUGCUAGCUGUGACGUUAGCAACAGAAGAAGCACCGGCUAACUCCGUGCCAGCAGCCGCGGUAAUACGGAGGGUGCGAGCGUUAAUCGGAAUUACUGGGCGUAAAGCGCGCGUAGGUGGUUUUGUCAGUCAGAUGUGAAAGCCCAGGGCUCAACCUUGGAACUGCACCUGAUACUGCAAGACUAGAGUACAAUAGAGGGGAGUGGAAUUCCGGCGUAGCGGUGAAAUGCGUAGAGAUCGGAAGGAACACCAGUGGGCGAAGGCGACUUCCUGGGAUUGAUACUGGCCACUGAGGUGCGAAGCGUGGGGAGCAACGGAUGAUACCUGUAGUCACGCCGAAAGAUU
rnacentral:rRNA from 1 species